CUGAUUCGCACGUACUUUGUUUAUACUACAGAGCUGCAGUAUUUACCACACAUUUUACAAGGUUAGAUAUUUGUCAGGAUCUGCAAAUCAUUUGCCAUCAUCUUAUUAGUCAUCUCUCCUUACUCUGUUUCUGAGAAGAAUGAACACCAUACGGUUGUGGAACGACAUGAUGGCUCAUAUGACUGAUAAAACAGGGAGGAGUGACAAAGAAAGCGAAGAGGCACAAAGAAAACUUGAGAAAUGACUGAGAGAACGACACUCUGAAGGAGCUCAGCUGCUAUAAAGAUCCAUUUAAUCCGUCUAUCUGCUGCUGCGGCCUCUUUCUGUCCUCAUUCACUCUCUCGUGCUGAAGUGGAAAACAUGGUCAGCAUCACCAUCUGUGUGUGCUGAGGAUCAGGUGGGCUGUUUGCUGCGAUUAAACGUCUUCUAAUCCUCCGGCUGCUCUUCUCAGAGCAAACAGAGAGAGAGAGAGAGAGAGAGAAGGAGGAAGAAGAAAAGUGCAGGAGGAAGAGUAGGUAGCUUUGUUGGA